rnacentral:rRNA from 1 species
UACAGAGGUCUCAAGCGUUGUUCGGAAUCACUGGGCGUAAAGGGUGCGUAGGUGGCGUGGCAAGUCAGAUGUGAAAGCCCAGGGCUCAACCCUGGAAUUGCAUCCGAUACUGCCAUGCUGGAGUACUGAAGAGGUGACUAGAAUUCUCGGUGUAGCAGUGAAAUGCGUAGAGAUCAUGAGGAAGACCAGUGGCGAAGGCGGGUCUCUGGACAGUUCCUGACACUGAGACACGAAGGCCAGGGGAGCAAACGGG